AUGAUUCCAGUCAUGCGGACUGUGAGAUCAUGCCAGAGGAACCUAGACGCAAAUGGCAAAAAAAGGUAUAUGGCCUUUCAGCUGUAUGUCGAAGUGCAAGGCUUAAUUUCAAGAAGAAAUUUCAUGAUGAUCCAUGAGAGGCAUUUUUCGAAUAGCAGAGGUCUUAGGGACUUUGCUAAGCGUAGGUUCUUGGUGGAGGCUUCUCUGGAAUACAAGCUUGAUUUUGUUGCAUUGCUUGAGACAGGUCACGACAAUUUCACCUCGCAGUUCCUCGAGACUAUUUCGGGUGGUCUAGAGUUUGAUUGGCAUUGUCUACCACCUCGAGGAAGAUCUGGAGGGAUCAUACUCGGAGUAAAUUACGAGACCCUUGAGGUGAUUGAUGUAUUCUGGGGAGAUUUUGCUGUUAAAUUCCAUGUGCGAUCGAAAGCUGACGGAUUCAGGUGGGCUCUAGUGGCUAUGUACGGGGCGGCACAACCUGAGCUCAAACCUGACUUCCUUGCAUAUAUGGUUUGGAUUUGUGGGGACGAAAUGCUACCAAUUAUGGUUGGUGGAGAUUUCAACAUUAUUAGAAGAAGGGAAGAGAAAAACAAUGACAACCUUUGA
rnacentral:rRNA from 1 species